rnacentral:rRNA from 1 species
AGUGAACGCUGGCGGUAGGCCUAACACAUGCAAGUCGAACGGCAGCUCCGUAAGUGCUUGCUCUUACGGGUGGCGCGUGGCGGACGGUUGCGGAAUACAUCGGAAUCUACUUUUUCGCGGGGGCUAAUGUAGGGAAUCUUACGCUAAUACCGCAUACGACCUACGGGUGUAAGCCGGGGAUCUUCGGACCUUGCGCGAUGGAAUGAGCCGAUGACGGAUUGGCUAGUUGGCGGGGGAAAGGCCCUCAACGGCGACAGUGCGUAGGUGGUCCGGGGGGAUGGACCGCCACACUGGAUCUGAGACACGGUCCAUACUCCUACGGGAGGAAGCAGUGGGAAAUAGUGGGCGAUGGACGCAAGCCUGAUCCAGCCAUACCGCGUAGGUGAAGAAGGACUUAUGGUUGUAAAGCCCUUUUGUUGGGAAAGAAAAAAAACAGUUUAAUACCCGGCGAUUAUGACGGUACCCAGAGAAGAAGCACCGGCUAACUUCGUG